UCGCAAAGUGAGCGCGGAAGUUCCACC
rnacentral:piRNA from 1 species